rnacentral:lncRNA from 1 species
UUGAUUCACUAUUAGAAUCUGACUCCUGUCGGGGCUACGAAUUCACUAUUAGAAUCCGAUCUUAACCCGGACUACGGAAUCUAACCUGCAAAAAAGGAAAACACUCUGCAAAACAACUAGAUUAGUCCAUAAACGCAUAUAUUAAUUAUUGAACUUACCUGCGAUUUACCUCUCGUGAAGUCCCUCCUUUGCUCAAUAAAUCCUUGGUGAAACUGGCCAAAGCGACAGAUUUCACCAUGCUCAAAUUUUUCGACGACU